AUGGGGCCUCACCAUGUUGCCCAUGCUGCCUCGAACUCCUAGGCUCAAGCAAUCCGCCCAUCUUGGCCUCCCAAAGUGCUGGAACUACAGGCGUGAGACACCAUGCCCGGCCUAACCCAGGUUUUAAUAUCCACUGUAAGAAGAAGUUGUUAAAGAGGUCACGCAGGAGACUGAUUUCAUUGAGAGGUUAAAACAAAACAAAACAAAACAAAACAAAAGCCCGUGACUCUAGUGAUGGAUUUGUCAUCACAAGGAGCUACCAUUUAUUGAGUGCUUCCCAUACCCUGGUACUUCUUUCGCUCCUUAAAGGUAAUAUCUCAUCUGGUCCUAACUGAACUGAUGAGGACAGAGACCUCCAAAGAUUCAAUAACUUGCCCAAGGCCACUGCUUCUAACUGCCUCUGACAAUGGGCCUCUCUCAGGA
rnacentral:lncRNA from 1 species